UCCUGGCUCAAGACGAACGCUGGCGGCGCGCCUAACACAUGCAAGUCGAACGAGCGAGAGAGAGCUUGCUUUCUCCAGCGAGUGGCGAACGGGUGAGUAACGCGUGAGGAACCUGCCUCAAAGAGGGGGACAACAGUUGGAAACGACUGCUAAUACCGCAUAAGCCCACGGCUCGGCAUCGAGCAGAGGGAAAAGGAGCAAUCCGCUUUGAGAUGGCCUCGCGUCCGAUUAGCUAGUUGGUGAGGUAAUGGCCCACCAAGGCGACGAUCGGUAGCCGGACUGAGAGGUUGAACGGCCACAUUGGGACUGAGACACGGCCCAGACUCCUACGGGAGGCAGCAGUGGGGAAUAUUGCACAAUGGGGGAAACCCUGAUGCAGCGACGCCGCGUGGAGGAAGAAGGUCUUCGGAUUGUAAACUCCUGUUGUUGAGGAAGAUAAUGACGGUACUCAACAAGGAAGUGACGGCUAACUACGUGCCAGCAGCCGCGGUAAAACGUAGGUCACAAGCGUUGUCCGGAAUUACUGGGUGUAAAGGGAGCGCAGGCGGGAAGACAAGUUGGAAGUGAAAUCUAUGGGCUCAACCCAUAAACUGCUUUCAAAACUGUUUUUCUUGAGUAGUGCAGAGGUAGGCGGAAUUCCCGGUGUAGCGGUGGAAUGCGUAGAUAUCGGGAGGAACACCAGUGGCGAAGGCGGCCUACUGGGCACCAACUGACGCUGAGGCUCGAAAGUGUGGGUAGCAAACAGGAUUAGAUACCCUGGUAGUCCACACCGUAAACGAUGAUUACUAAGUGUUGGAGGGAUUGACCCCUUCAGUGCCGCAGUUAACACAAUAAGUAAUCCACCUGGGGAGUACGACCGCAAGGUUGAAACUCAAAGGAAUUGACGGGGGCCCGCACAAGCAGUGGAGUAUGUGGUUUAAUUCGACGCAACGCGAAGAACCUUACCAAGUCUUGACAUCCUGCGACGCACAUAGAAAUAUGUGUUUCCUUCGGGACGCAGAGACAGGUGGUGCAUGGUUGUCGUCAGCUCGUGUCGUGAGAUGUUGGGUUAAGUCCCGCAACGAGCGCAACCCUUACUGUCAGUUACUACGCAAGAGGACUCUGGCAGGACUGCCGUUGACAAAACGGAGGAAGGUGGGGAUGACGUCAAAUCAUCAUGCCCUUUAUGACUUGGGCUACACACGUACUACAAUGGCGUUAAACAAAGAGAAGCAAGACCGCGAGGUGGAGCAAAACUCAGAAACAACGUCCCAGUUCGGACUGCAGGCUGCAACUCGCCUGCACGAAGUCGGAAUUGCUAGUAAUCGUGGAUCAGCAUGCCACGGUGAAAAAGAACCCGGGCCUUGCACUCACCGCCCGUCA
rnacentral:rRNA from 1 species